rnacentral:rRNA from 1 species
UAAGGCGGAUUUAUCUGCCGCUCAUGGAUGGGCCUGCGGUGCAUUAGCUAGUUGGUGAGAUAGUAGCUCACCAAGGCGACGAUGCAUAGCCGACCUGAGAGGGUGAUCGGCCACACUGGGACUGAGACACGGCCCAGACUCCUACGGGAGGCAGCAGUAGGGAAUCUUCCGCAAUGGACGCAAGUCUGACGGAGCAACGCCGCGUGAGUGAUGAAGGGUUUCGGCUCGUAAAACCCUGUUGUUAAGGAAGAAUACUUGAGGUAGUAACUGGCCUUGAGAUGACGGUA